rnacentral:rRNA from 1 species
GAUGAACGCUAGCGGGAGGCUUAAUACAUGCAAGUCGAACGGCAACAUGAUGAUAGCAAUAUUAUUGAUGGCGAGUGGCGCACGGGUGAGUAACACGUACAUAACCUGCCCUUUACUGAGGGAUAGCCUUGGGAAACUGGGAGUAACCCCUCAUAGUGUACAUUGGACGCAUGUCUGAUGUAAUAAAUUCUUCGGGAGUAAAGGAUGGAUGUGCGGCUGAUUAGUUAGUUGGAGAGGUAACGGCUCACCAAGACAAUGAUCAGUAGGGGUGUGAGAGCAUGAUCCCCCACACGGGUACUGAGACACGGACCCGACUCCUACGGGAGGCAGCAGUAAGGAAUAUUGGACAAUGGCGGAGACGCUGAUCCAGCUAUCCCGCGUGCAGGAUGAAGGGCCUCUGGCUUGUAAACUGCUUUAGACUGAGACGAAAAAAUGGGAUUUUUCCUAUAUUGACGGUAUCAGUAGAAUAAGCACCGGCU